AGAGCACGAGCCGGAAAUGGAAAAGCCGGUACAAGCGUAUAGCAGUCACAUAGGAAAAUCCGUGUGAGAAAUGUAAAGCGCGAUGUGGAUCGAACAUUAGUAGAGAAGCGUGUGAGCCAGCUGCCAAGAAAAGCCGCUAUUGUUUCAUAAGUACCCGUACCGUAAACCGACACAGGUGGAUGAGGAGAGAAUCCUAAGGCCGGCGGGAGAAGUGUUGUUAAGGAACUCG
rnacentral:rRNA from 1 species